rnacentral:rRNA from 1 species
UACAGAGGGUGCAAGCGUUGUUCGGAAUUACUGGGCGUAAAGCGCGCGCAGGCGGUCUUCCAAGUCAGUGGUGAAAGCCUGGAGCUCAACUCCAGAACUGCCAUUGAAACUGUUAGACUUGAGUACGAGAGAGGUGAGUGGAAUUCCCAGUGUAGAGGUGAAAUUCGUAGAUAUUGGGAAGAACACCGGUGGCGAAGGCGGCUCACUGGCUCGUAACUGACGCUCAGGCGCGACAGCGUGGGGAUCAAACAGG